rnacentral:rRNA from 1 species
GACAGAGGGUGCAAACGUUGUUCGGAAUUACUGGGCGUAAAGCGCGUGUAGGCGGCAGGGCAAGUCGGAUGUGAAAUCCCGUGGCUCAACCACGGAAGUGCACCCGAAACUGCCCAGCUAGAGUCUCGGAGAGGAAGGUGGAAUGCUUGGUGUAGAGGUGAAAUUCGUAGAUAUCAAGCGGAACACCGGUGGCGAAGGCGGCCUUCUGGACGAUGACUGACGCUGAGGCGCGAAAGCGUGGGGAGCGAACAGG